GACGAACGCUGGCGGCGUGCUUAACACAUGCAAGUCGAACGGUGAAGCGCCUUCCUUUUUGGUGGGUGUGGAUGAGUGGCGAACGGGUGAGUAACACGUGAGUAACCUGCCCCCUUCUUCUGGAUAACCGCAUGAAAGUGUGGCUAAUACGGGAUAUUCUGGGUCUGUCGCAUGAUGGGUCUGGGAAAGAUAUUGUUUCGGUGGGGGAUGGGCUCGCGGCCUAUCAGCUUGUUGGUGGGGUGAUGGCCUACCAAGGCGGUGACGGGUAGCCGGCCUGAGAGGGUGGACGGUCACACUGGGACUGAGACACGGCCCAGACUCCUACGAGAGGCAGCAGUGGGGAAUAUUGCACAAUGGGCGCAAGCCUGAUGCAGCGACGCCGCGUGAGGGAUGGAGGCCUUCGGGUUGUGAACCUCCUUCGCCAGUGAAGCAGGCCUGCCUCGUUUGUGGGUGGGUUGACGGUAGCUGGAUAAGAAGCGCCGGCUAACUACGUG
rnacentral:rRNA from 1 species